rnacentral:rRNA from 1 species
GAUGAACGCUGGCGGCGUGCCUAAUACAUGCAAGUCGAGCGAACGGACGAGAAGCUUGCUUCUCUGAUGUUAGCGGCGGACGUGUGAGUAACACGUGGAUAACCUACCUAUAAGACUGGGAUAACUUCGGGAAACCGGAGCUAAUACCGGAUAAUAUUUUGAACCGCAUGGUUCAAAAGUGAAAGACGGUCUUGCUGUCACUUAUAGAUGGAUCCGCGCUGCAUUAGCUAGUUGGUAAGGUAACGGCUUACCAAGGCAACGAUGCAUAGCCGACCUGAGAGGGUGAUCGGCCACACUGGAACUGAGACACGGUCCAGACUCCUACGGGAGGCAGCAGUAGGGAAUCUUCCGCAAUGGGCGAAAGCCUGACGGAGCAACGCCGCGUGAGUGAUGAAGGUCUUCGGACCGUAAAACUCUGUUAUUAGGGAAGAACAUAUGUGUAAGUAACUGUGCACAUCUUGACGGUACCUAAUCAGAAAGCCACGGCUAACUACGUG